rnacentral:piRNA from 1 species
UCUCCUACCUGCUCACUGAGUGUAU